GCUUGCAAAUAUACCAUUUUUUGCUUUUGGUCCCUGGUGUUUUAUUUUAGUCCUUGAAAAGUUGGUUCAUGUUGAAAUUGGUCGCAAUAUUCAUUUUAGUUUUUAUUUUGAGGAAUUAAAACCAAAUAUUCUGCAUAUUACAGCAUCCGGUUCCAAUAUGAAUAAAUUUUGUAGGGACUAAAACAAAACAAGGACCAAAAGCAAAAAAUUAUACAUUUGCAAGGA
rnacentral:pre_miRNA from 1 species